GGGGAUGUAGCUUAGUGGUAGAGCACUUGCCUAGCAUGCGUAAGACCCUGGGUUCCAUCCCCAGCACCA
rnacentral:tRNA from 1 species